GCAAGUCGAACGGUAACAGGUUAAGCUGACGAGUGGCGAACGGGUGAGUCAUAUAUCGGAACGUGCCCAGUUGUGGGGGAUAACUACUCGAAAGAGUGGCUAAUACCGCAUGAGACCUGAGGGUGAAAGCGGGGGAUCGCAAGACCUCGCGCGAUUGGAGCGGCCGAUAUCAGAUUAGCUUGUUGGUGGGGUAAAAGCCCACCAAGGCAACGAUCUGUAGCUGGUCUGAGAGGACGACCAGCCACACUAGGACUGAGACACGGCCCAGACUCCUACGGGAGGCAGCAGUGGGGAAUUUUGGACAAUGGACGAAAGUCUGAUCCAGCCAUGCCGCGUGCGGGAAGAAGGCCUUCGGGUUGUAAACCGCUUUUGUCAGGGAAGAAACGGCUCGCUCUAAUACAGUGGGCUAAUGACGGUACCUGAAGAAUAAGCACCGGCUAACUACGUGCCAGCAGCCGCGGUAAUACGUAGGGUGCAAGCGUUAAUCGGAAUUACUGGGCGUAAAGCGCACGUAGGCGGUUUUUUAAGUCAGAUGUGAAAGCCCCGGGCUCAACCUGGGAAUUGCAUUUGAAACUGGAAAACUAGAGUGUGUGAGAGGGGGGUAGAAUUCCAAGUGUAGCGGUGAAAUGCGUAGAGAUUUGGAGGAAUACCAGUGGCGAAGGCGGCCCCCUGGCACAACACUGACGCUCAGGUGCGAAAGCGUGGGGAGCAAACAGGAUUAGAUACCCUGGUAGUCCACGCCGUAAACGAUGUCUACUAGCUGUUCGUGGUCUUGUACUGUGAGUAGCGCAGCUAACGCAUUAAGUAGACCGCCUGGGGAGUACGGUCGCAAGAUUAAAACUCAAAUGAAUUGACGGGGGCCCGCACAAGCGGUGGAGCAUGUGGUUUAAUUCGACGCAACGCGAAGAACCUUACCUACUCUUGACAUCUAGCGAAGAUUGUAGAGAUACGAUUGUGCCUUCGGGAACGCUAAGACAGGUGCUGCAUGGCUGUCGUCAGCUCGUGUUGUGAAAUGUUGGGG
rnacentral:rRNA from 1 species